UUUUUUUUUUUUUUCCCUUUUUAGAGCCACACCCUCAGCAUAUGGAGGUUCCCAGGCUAGAGGUCUCAUCGGAGCUACAGCUGUUGGCCUACACCACAGCCACAGCAAUGCAGGACCCAAGCCGCAUCUGCAACCUACGCCACAGCUCAUGGCAACGCUGGAUCCUUAACCCACUCAGCAAGGCCAGGGAUGGAACCCACAGCAACCUCAUGGUUCCCAGUUGGAUUCAUUUCCGCUGUGCCAUGAUGCGAACUUCUUCUUCGCCAUCUAUUAUACAGCCUUUCUUCACUUAGGAAACCAAUGGAAGGUCCUUUCUAAAUUACGAGCUCUGAUCAUUGCCACUAACUUUUUUUUCAGGAGAUAGCUUCUUUUAAUUCCUGUUGGUUUCAGGUGUACAGCGAAGUGAUUCAGAUAUAUAUGUGAAUUUUCUGUUAUAGGUUAUUACAAACUAUUGAAUAUGUUCCCUGUGCUAUGUAGUAGGUCCUGUUUAUCUGUUUUAGAUAUAGCAGUGUGUAUCUGUUAGUCCCAGACUUUAAAUUUACCCCUCCCCUCUUUCCCCUUUGGUAACCCUACGUUGUUUUCUAUCUCUGUGAAUCAACUUCUGUUUUAUAAGUAAGAGAAUUUGCAUCAUCUUUUUAGAUUCCGCAUAUGAGUGGUAUCAUAUGAUACUUGUCUUUCUCUGACUUAGUAGGGUCACCUGUAGGUCCAUCCAUGUUGUGCAGGUGGCAUUAUUUCAUUCGUUGGUAUGGCAAAGGAACAUUCCAUUGUACAUAUACAUAACACAUCUUCUUUAUCCUUUCCUCUGUCAAUGGCCAGUUACAAACUUCUUCUCUUUUUUUUGUAUUUUUAGGGUUGCAGUCACAGCAUACGGAGGUUCCCAGUCUAGGGGGUGAAUCAGAGCUGUAGCUGCCAGCCUACACCACAGCCAUAGCAAUGCAGGAUCUGAGCCAUGUCUGUGACCUACACCACAGCUCAGGGAAUGCCAGAUCCUUAACCCACUGAGCGAGGUCAGGGAUCGAACCCAUGUCCUCAGGGACACUAGUCGGUUUUGUUAACCCCUGAGCCACGAUGGGAACUCCCAGUCACAAACUUCUAAUGUCAGCCCAUUACUCACCAAAACCCAAAACCAAAACCAAACCUAAACAUUUACCAUGUUUAAACUCUAACAUCAUGUCUAAAAUCUAAUAUCAACCCUAGGUUUCACCUCAUCCCAGCUGAAGCCAUCCUAAACUUCUAUUUCUAAAGCUAGAUAUUUCAUUUCUCUGUGUCCUUGUUCUUGCUGUCAGAAUCAUCCCUGCCUUCUUCUCCCUUUGACCAACAUCUACCUGACCUCUAAGUCCCAGUUUAAUGUCAACUCCUUCAGAACACUGUCCCCACUUUCCUCAGCAUAGGUCACCAUGUCUCCCCACAUCCUUGCUCUGACCCCCUCCCAUGGUGCUUCUCUAUUUAAAGGUGUAGUGAGGGGAGUUCCCAUCGUGGCACAGUGGAAACGAAUCCAACUAGGAACCAUGAGGUGGUGGGUUCAAUCCCUGGCUUCGCUCAGUGUGUUAAGGAUCUGGCAUUACUGUGAGCUGUGGUACAGGUUGCAGACGUGGCUUGGAUAUAGCGUUGCUGUGGCUGUGGCGUAGGCUGUGGCGUAGGCUAGCAGCUGUAGCUCUGAUUGGACCCCUAGCCUGGGAACCUCCAUGUGUUGCAGGUGCAGCCCUAAAAAGCAAAGCAAAAAAAAAAAAAAGGUUCGUGAAGAGUUCCCACUGUAGCACAACGGGAUCGGUGGUAUCUCUGCAGCCGCCAGGAGGCAGGUUUGAUCCUUUGCCUGGCACAGUGAGUUAAAGGAUCCCGAGUGGCUGCACUUGUGGUGUAGGUAGAAACUACAGCUCAGAUCCAAUCCCUGGCCCAGGAACUCCAUACGCUGUGGGGCUGGAGAAAGAAAAAAGGAAAAAAAAAAAAAAAAGAAAAAAAAGAAAAAAAAGAAAAAGUGCCAUGAAACUGAGCCCUUUGUAGGGAAGGAUGUGAUGUUCUCCCUGUACUUCUCUCACUCCCUCCAGUGCCUGAGAGAGUGGCUAGAGCAUAAUGUGUGCGUGACCAUGGGUUUCUACAUUCAUGAACAAAUGAAUGAAUAAAUAAAAUUAUAUGUAAAGGAGUUCUGUGAUUGUAUUUUGUAGUGAAAGCUAUCAAUCCCUCCUAGCUCUUUUUGGUGGUACUGAUAUUUGCUCCUCAAACAUCACCAAGAAAGCCUGUGUUGGGAGGUUCCCAGCUGCACCCCCAGGUUUCAUGAUUCACCAGGAGCAGGACUCACAGCACUCAGCUUAUAGUCAUAUUCGCAUCUAUGACGGAUUGAUGUGAAAGGCUACAGAGCAGAGUCAGCAGAGGUAAAAGGCACCUGAGAUGAAGCUGGGAAGACACUUACUGCUGUGCCACUGGAGGCACCCAGGACACUCCUAUCUCCCUAGACUACAAGUUAUGCUGACACGUGUGAAAUGUUGUCUCCCAGGCUCAUUAGAUAGAGACUCAGUGUCUGAGGUUUUUUACUGGGGCUAGUCAUGUUGGCACCCCCUGUCUAGCAUCUACCAAAAUGCCAGAUCCCUAGAAACAAAGCAGGUGUUUAGCACAAACCAUAUUGUUGGCACAAAUAUUUUAGGCACAGUGAGUCACUCUGAUCAGGAAUGGUGGUGACCCAGGUCCCCAGGUUUCAGACAAGGGCCAUGAAGACCUCUGGUGACGAUCAUAACUGCCAGGUGAAAAGAAGAGCUUCCAAAGAAAAGGAUACAUGUCGGUAAGAAAAGAUGGAAAGGGCUGGUCAGCGCCAUGCCCCAGAAUGAACAUGAAGGACAGAAGCCUAGUUGCUCAGAGAUGGCGCCAUCUCAGAAGGGAGUUAAGCAAACAGUUGCCAGAUUUUAUUUUUUUCUUUCCAAAAUCCUGGUUGCGGAUAAGGAUGGGUUUGUGGCACACAGACCAUGGUGGUGGUUAAAAAUAUAGUACUUGGUUAAAAUGCAUUGAUACUUUCAGUGUGUGCAGUUUAUGUUAUUUUUAGGAAAUAUUUAAAACAUUUGAUAACUGAAUAGAAGUACACCAUUCGAUUUUCGUUUUUUUUAUUUUAACAGAUGGAAAGCAAAAAAAAUACUCAAGUGCCAAUUUAAUUGCAGAUGUUAGAUAAAUCCAGGAACAAGGCAGACUGCAGGAACUGUGGUUUAACAAGUUUUAUACACCUUGUAAUUUCCCCCUCAUUCUUACCUGUGGGUUGCCUGCCUGUCUGUAGUAAUUAGCAAAAGAGCCCAAAAAGCACAGAGAGGACUAUGAGCUUGUCAACAAGGAAAACGGGGAGCUGGGACAACUGGGUACCACUCUGCUGCUGGGCUUGAGUGAGGGGAGGCGGUGGGUGGUGACAGCUGAUGAAAGAAAAGGAAAAUAGGUCAAAUCCUUAAGCCUAAGGAUGGAGAGAAAGAAAUGGGGUGAGCCGGUGUGGGCCUGCCGAGAUCUGGGGUUAAACCUUUGAAGCCUGUUUCCUGGAACUGCCCUUAACAAACCAUCACACACCGCAUUCCUGAAAACAAAGAAAUGUAUUCUCUCAGAGUUCUGGAGGCAAGAAGUCCCCAAAACCAAGGUGUUGACAGAGCCACGCUCCCUCCAAAGGCUCUUGGGGAGAACGCUUCCUUGUUUCUUUCCGCUUCUGGUAGCUCACAGAAGUCCCUGGCCUGUGGACACCUCACUCUCAUCUCUGCUCUGACGUCACUUAGUCUGCUCCUCUCUGUGUGUCUCUGCUUGUCCUCUCCUCUUUUUAUAAGGACACCAGUCAUUAGAUUUGGGGACUGCCUUAAUCUAAGUAUGACCUCAUCUUAACAAAUUACAUCUGCAAAGACCCUAUCUCCAACUAAAGUCACAUUUUGAGGUUUUGAAUGGACACAAUUUUUCCCCCUACUGGGGAAACUAUUCAACUCACUGUAAAAAAAAAAAAAAAAACAAAACCAAAAACCAAACCCGUAGCAGUAACUGGCACCUGUCAUCAUCAGACGAAAGGUUCUCUACCAAGACCUCAGUGUGUCUAUUAGCAUAGCUCCCUUGGAAUCGAUGACUGUCAAAAAAAAAAAAAAAAAAAGGAAGCCACUGAAAAAACCUAAGAAAUACUCACAAAAAAGAUAAGGGAAAUUGCUUCCUAAAUGUGACCAGGUGAAAUGCUUUUCCAUGGCUGAAAAGACCAUGAUUCCAAACCUCACAAUGCGAGCUCUUUAUUGAAGGAAAUUUGCCAGAAAAAUCUGCUUGUGAGACACCACAUGCCGAAUGCGGUUGCAUUAGGACGCCUUGAAUGUGCUCUGAGGGUCCUCACACUGUCCCAUCCUCACUGGGUGUGUAAUAGGCCCACCUGCAAGGAUGCAGGAGCAGUCAGGUGACAGGCUACACAUACCUGUAAUCAUCAUAUCCAGACCUGUCCAAGCCCCCAAGAGGAAGGUGUCCCAGCUAUGCUAAAAUGACCUCUGGCCACUCCCUUCAGGAGGCUGCUUCUCUGCCAGGCUUUCCCAUCAAGCUGACCGCAGAAUAAAGUAAAUGUUUAUUUGUUCGUGGAAUCUCUGGCAAUUGGAAAUCCUCCCUCUUGGCUCCGUGUUAAUACUGGAGAGCGCCUGCACAGUUGCUUCUGCUGCUAGAGUUAGACUUUGGGGCUCUGAUACAGAUCGAUAAACAAAUUCACAUGCUGAUAACUAAUUUUUUUGUCUUUUUGUCUUUUUAGGGCCACACCCGCGGCACAUGGAGGUUCCCAGGCUGGGAGUCAAAUCGGAGCUACAGCUGCCAGCAUAAAUCACAGCCCACAACCCAGGAUCUGAGCCUCGUCUGCCACCUUCACCACAGUUCACGGCAAUUGCUGGAUCCUUAACCCACUGAGAAAGGCCAGGCAUUGAACCUGCAUCCUCAUGGAUACUAGUCGUGUUUGUUAACCACUGAGCCACAACGGGAACUCCAUCGUGGCUUGUAUCACAGAUUGGUACUGUUGAUGCAAAAGAACCUCAGAUGUGUAACUGCAAUCAUUCCUGGUCCAUAAGAAAUUUUCAAAUGGCAUAUUAAGCAAUUGCCAUAGACUAUGUUCUCCCAAAAUUCGUAUGUUAGAGUCUAAUCCCCAAUAUAUAGUAUUUGGAAGUGGGGCCUUUGGGAGGUGAUUAGGUGGUGAGAGUGGAACCCUCAUGAAUAGAUCUGGUGCCAUUAUAAAAAAAGACCCCAGAGAGCUUUCCUGCCCUCUUCUACCAUGCAAAGAGACAGUGAAAAGCUCAGCGCCUAUUAAUCAGGAAGCAGGUCUUCACCAGAUACCAAAUCUGC
rnacentral:lncRNA from 1 species